GACGAACGCUGGCGGCGUGCUUAACACAUGCAAGUCGAACGGAAAGGCCCUGCUUUUGUGGGGUGCUCGAGUGGCGAACGGGUGAGUAACACGUGAGUAACCUGCCCUUGACUUUGGGAUAACUUCAGGAAACUGGGGCUAAUACCGGAUAGGAGCUCCUGCUGCAUGGUGGGGGUUGGAAAGUUUCGGCGGUUGGGGAUGGACUCGCGGCUUAUCAGCUUUUUGGUGGGGUAGUGGCUUACCAAGGCUUUGACGGGUAGCCGGCCUGAGAGGGUGACCGGCCACAUUGGGACUGAGAUACGGCCCAGACUCCUACGGGAGGCAGCAGUGGGGAAUAUUGCACAAUGGGCGGAAGCCUGAUGCAGCAACGCCGCGUGCGGGAUGACGGCCUUCGGGUUGUAAACCGCUUUCGCCUGUGACGAAGCGUGAGUGACGGUAAUGGGUAAAGAAGCACCGGCUAACUACGUGCCAGCAGCCGCGGUGAUACGUAGGGUGCGAGCGUUGUCCGGAUUUAUUGGGCGUAAAGGGCUCGUAGGUGGUUGAUCGCGUCGGAAGUGUAAUCUUGGGGCUUAACCCUGAGCGUGCUUUCGAUACGGGUUGACUUGAGGAAGGUAGGGGAGAAUGGAAUUCCUGGUGGAGCGGUGGAAUGCGCAGAUAUCAGGAGGAACACCAGUGGCGAAGGCGGUUCUCUGGGCCUUUCCUGACGCUGAGGAGCGAAAGCGUGGGGAGCGAACAGGCUUAGAUACCCUGGUAGUCCACGCUGUAAACGGUGGGUACUAGGUGUGGGGUCCAUUCCACGGGUUCCGUGCCGUAGCUAACGCUUUAAGUACCCCGCCUGGGGAGUACGGCCGCAAGGCUAAAACUCAAAGGAAUUGACGGGGCCCCGCACAAGCGGCGGAGCAUGCGGAUUAAUUCGAUGCAACGCGUAGAACCUUACCUGGGUUUGACAUGGAUCGGGAGUGCUCAGAGAUGGGUGUGCCUCUUUUGGGGUCGGUUCACAGGUGGUGCAUGCCUGUCGUCAGCUCGUGUCGUGAGAUGUUGGGUUAAGUCCCGCAACGAGCGCAACCCUUGUUCACUGUUGCCAGCACGUUAUGGUGGGGACUCAGUGGAGACCGCCGGGGUCAACUCGGAGGAAGGUGGGGAUGACGUCAAGUCCUCAUGCCCCUUAUGUCCAGGGCUUCACGCAUGCUACAAUGGCUGGUACAGAGAGUGGCGAGCCUGUGAGGGUGAGCGAAUCUCGGAAAGCCGGUCUCAGUUCGGAUUGGGGUCUGCAACUCGACCUCAUGAAGUCGGAGUCGCUAGUAAUCGCAGAUCAGCAACGCUGCGGUGAAUACGUUCCCGGG
rnacentral:rRNA from 1 species